rnacentral:tRNA from 1 species
GCCUAGAUAGCUCGGGUGGUGAAGCAUCAGAUUUUUAAUCUGAGGGCACAGGGUUCAAGUCCUUGUUCUGGUG